UAACUAAGGGGAUUGACACUGCAGGUGUGGCUAGAGGAUCAGGGAGGCAAGAUAUAGGGGCUUAUGUAAACCUAGCUGCUUACUAUCUCUGUGGCAUACCAACUGCUGUUUUAUUAGCUUUUAGAUUUAAAAUGGGAGGAAGAGGACUCUGGAUUGGGAUCACUGUUGGGUCCUUUGUACAAGCGGUUUUGCUCGGUCUUAUUGUUAUCCUCACCAACUGGAAACAACAGGCGAGAAAGGCUAGAGAAAGAGUUAUGGGUGAUGAAUUUGAAGAGAAAGAUAAUGAAGUGAUCAGCUAAACUAAUCAAGAGUUCAAUCACCAUCUCCUCCAUUAAAUGUCGUGUGUGUUUAUUUGUGCUGUUGUUUUCAAGUAUAGUAAUGAGGAACUGAAUGUUCACAUUAGUUUUGGCCUCUAGCGGUCGAGCCCUUUAUUUACAAAAAAAGUUUAUACUACUCACUAAUCAUAUACGAUUUGCUC